rnacentral:rRNA from 1 species
AUUGAACGCUGGCGGCAUGCUUUACACAUGCAAGUCGAACGGGGUGAGGAGCUUGCUCCUCAUCUAGUGGCGAACGGGUGAGUAAUACAUCGGAACGUACCGUGUAGUGGGGGAUAACGUAGCGAAAGUUACGCUAAUACCGCAUACGAUCCACGGAUGAAAGCAGGGGACCUUCGGGCCUUGUGCUAUACGAGCGGCCGAUGUCUGAUUAGCUAGUUGGUGGGGUAAAGGCCCACCAAGGCAACGAUCAGUAGCGGGUCUGAGAGGAUGAUCCGCCACACUGGGACUGAGACACGGCCCAGACUCCUACGGGAGGC